rnacentral:tRNA from 1 species
UCCCCUUUAGCUCAAUUGGAAGAGCAACGGGCUCUUAACCCGUGGGUUGCCGGUUCAAGUCCGACAGGGGGAACCG